UAAUCUAUAGUUUUUCACACACCUCUCUUUCUUACCUUACGUGUUCUUAUAUGCUGAAUUGCUUGUAUGAACUGUGUUUCUCCUUUUAGAUCUAUUUCUCAUCCUUUAGUUAGUGUCUCAAAGGUAAAGCGGACGUUAGCUGUUCAGAUGUUUCUAUCAUUCAUUUUAAUUAAUUCUUAACGUGUUAUGCUCAUUAACCUCUGUUUGUAGUCAAAUAUAUGCUCAGUUUUGUGUUCGAUUCGGUUCUGAUUAGGAGCCGAAAGAAAUUCAUUUUAGAGUAAAUUUCUGACCCCUUUCCAUCACUAUUGCAGGAUUAUACUUGUCAGUGUGAAAGUUCUAGAUAAUAUGAUGUCGCCUAAGAUAAUCUCUGAAUUUUAAGUCAUCCCAUGACAAUUCAGUGGCCCCUUUCGGUGAUCCUCUUAACUUCUAACAACUGUUUCUUCAGCUCUUCGGCUGAUAUAUAGUUAAAGUUGGACUCAAAUGAAGGGUUUUAUUGUCUCAUUGCCACUUAUUUAUAGAUAGCAAAAUGAAACUUGAGGGAAGACUAGGGUGUAUGACUAUACAGGGAAGGGGGGGGGGAGGUGUUAAAGUUAAAACUGUAAACUAGCAUGUCUUGUAUACGAUCUAUCACCUAGAGAUGAAAGAACCCAGCAUAGAACAGGGGGCUCAGUGGCUCCUGGUAGAUUUUGAUGAAACUUCAGUACAUUACAAUGAAGUUUAUCAUCAGCCGGAAGCCAAACAAUUACCUCAUUCCAACAAGUAAAAGCCAAAUUAUUCGCGUUUAAACACAGGCCAAUUUCUGUGCGGCGGAGACAAUUAGGCGCUCCACGUAGCCAUUCUUCGUGCCUGAACACAUCAGACUUUGGAUGGGAAACCCUUUUUCUCCUCCAGGUAGCUGCUCAGAUCAGAUCGGGCAAUGAGAUAUAGAGUCCUCUAUCUCUUGCACCUCACCUCUGAAAUUACUGAAGAGCUACUGAAACAGAAUCGGCAGAUGCGGGGAGAAGGGGAGCGUACAGCCUUUGCACCUGUCUAACGUAUGAACACCUAACUGCGUGUGAGGUCUGAUCGAAAACGCCUAACAGCCAGAGGAGAGGGGAUUUGUAAGUCCUCCGUCAUGCUGUGAUAUUAUAGAAAACAGUCCGGGUUCAAUGGCUAAUAUCUUGACUUCUACUCGUUAGAAUAAGGUAAUUGUUUGGCUUUGUGUUGAUGAUGAACUUCAUUUUAAUCUAUUAAAGUUUCAUCAAAACCUACCGGGAGCCACUGAGCCCCCUGUUCUGUGCGGGAGUCGUUGUCCCAACAUUUAGAAAAAACCAUCAUUUUUUCAUCUUGUAUGCAUGACAUUGGUCCAUUUUGAAAUUUUCAUCCAGUAUGAGUCAGUAAAGUCCUUUUUUUUUAUUGUGUCAUUCGAAAGUAGUAAGUGACCGAAGCUUACAGUUUUUCUCCUAAAUUUUUUUGAUGACUGCAAACGGGAGAAAAGUUUAUUCGAAAGUGCCUAAAAUUAGGGUGGCCUAAAACGGCGUUGGAACCGCGCGCUCGUAGGUUUCUAAUGUACACGUCACGAUCAAUAUGGAGGCGGAAUGCGUAGUGGAAGAAUACACAGCGGCGUUGCGUUGGUGGCGGUAUGUUUUUGUUGGUCAAUUGGAGGUUAUUUAGGUUACUUUGUUUGAGAUUCAUAUCCAUUGUUCUUAAUUCUCGAAGCUAUUCAAUCAGAAUGCGACACAGAUGUAUGUUGGAUAUGAAACAUUCACAUAGAACUUACUUAACCUCAAACGAGAAAUCGUGAUGUCAACAUCGGCAGCGUGGCGGCAGUGAGCAGGUGGGUUUUGCCGACUGGCGACUUGGACGGUCAACCGUUGGAAUUCGGCGAUUUACCCCGAAUCUCCACCGCGGCGGUGCGUUUUCGGGGGUUCGGCACUCUCAACGUUGUGACGGACCGCCGCCAUAUUUGUUUACGAAACCAAGCCUACCGAUCGCAUGCCCAAGCAUCGUGUGCUGAUCGAUUAUAGUAUAAUAAUUCAAAAUUAAUUUUAUCGUUUCAGUCGUUCCAUUUUAGCCUCAAUAAGCUAAGCUCACCGUUACGCGAACCUGGACCCGGGAAAUCUAACUGGAGAGGUCUUGUGCCUGCGGGGAGGGAGUUGGGCGCUGCUGACACACUUCACAGUAAAAUUGACCAAAAUUGUCCCAGAAAAAUGUUAGUACUCUCUCUGAAUAAGGGGGAGGGGACAAUCCCUACUUGCCUGAUGUGUGAGAAUUUUCACCCUCAUGAUAAAUUUUAAUUUGAAAAAAUAUGUUCCUCCCAGAGGUCCAACCCCUUUCUUGCUAGCACCAUUUACAUUUUUAAAGCAGCCUCAGUCUUGAUAGCCUGCUGAAUGGGUUCCAUAAUGAGCAGAGAUGCAAAAUUGCAUGCAAUUUCAUACAAGGUAAAAUUUCAUGAAAGUAUAACUUCUGCAAUAGGCUCAGUAGGCCGUGAAAUGCGUAUAAUCAGAAAAUCUCAAUAUUUAACAAAAUAAGAGCCAAACUCUUAAUUUUAUUAUAAGAUAAUUUUAUGGGUGGUGUACACUCCUCCUAAGAAAUCUGUGUACUUUCAUAUCAUGUUAGAUUUCAUUUUACAUCCCUGAUAAGUGAUGACAAAAAAUCUCUGAAGAGAAGGAAUGAAUGCUGAGGAUGGUCGCUCAAGACUCACUCUUCUGGCUGCUACUUUUUUUCUCCUAGAAUGCAUUGAUAAACGGCGACAUUGCAGCUUGUGUCUUAACGGGAGAAAACUUCCUUCAUUCGACUAUCAGGAAUUAAUAUUAACUUGAUAAAAAUAUUUAAAUGUAAAUUUUAAUUAAGUACGUGGUUGCUUCAAGUCCGCUUAAAGUGUGGAUCUUGCCCGCGAUCCAUAAAUUCAAAACACCCGCGCAAUAUGCGCCGCCAUCUUAGUUGUUUACAUGAAAACGUUGAGGUGCUCGAUCCCCGAACAUGCACCGCCGCGGUGGAGAUUCGGGGUCAAUCGCCGAAUUCCAACGGUUGACCGUCCAAGUCGCCAGUCGGAAAGAUUCGUGAGCAGGUCGGCUUCGGCGCCGCCAUCUUCCCGUCUAGGACGCCCAUAGUUCGAAGAUUCACGGCGGUCGGUUCAAACACGUUUUCGAGGACCCCUGAAAAGGAAACGUUAUAUCUCCGCGGAGACAAUUUUUCGUGAAAUUUUAACAUUCGCAUCGUUCUUCUCGUACCGAAAACUGUAAGACUCGACUAUUUGCAGGCAAAUCCCUCCCGGGCUUAACUGGCUCAUUGCUGUAGCUAAAAUUUUGAACUUUCACAUUUUGAGCUGUGGCGGCGUCGAAGGCUUGUGUACCUACAUAUGGGAGAGGAUUGCCAUCUCUGUGUCGCCUUCUGAUUUGUUCAUCAGUUUUAGGCUAUCAUGGAUCUCCAAAGUUGGCCCACUGUAAACAAACCCGACCCAGAGGAACACGUAUAAUCGGCUGAAAAAUGAAUGAUAAUCACACUUGAGGCUUAAUUUUCGGAAAAAAUAUUCAUCAAAGUUCGAUCCGAACGCAAUUCAGAAGUUGGUUAUAAACAAAAUUCUAUCAUACCCAAAAUCACAUUAAAAACUUUUUUGCCAUCUUGUUUGUUUGCAUUGGGCUAAACUAGGAGCAGAGAGGCUAGGGUUUGUUUACAUUGGGCCAACUUUGGGGCUCCAAGAUAGCCGACCAACCGGAGAACAGCACACUUUUUCUGUAGUAAGAGGAUUGAGAUGGCAUUAUUCUCCUGUAUACAGGUACUCUAUUUAAGGCUCACGUGAAGAAUAACAAAACCAUUUGGUUCAUGAAAGUAGACCGUCUACGUUUCAAAAUAAGUAAGCCCAAGUUAAUCUCGGGGGAACAAUUUUGAUCGAAGUUUUGAUUUUCCAAGAUGACGCGGUGGGAGCACCUGGAAUAUUCUGAGUCCCAAGAUCAACCAUGCUUUCAGAACGAUUACGAGUCGCAAGUAUUUGUGUUUUUAUACUUUCGUAGGUCGUUCCCACAGCAAAUCAUCGGAUAAAAACGAUCAAAUCAGGACAAAUGAAUAUCAUGAAAUGUAUGCAGGGUGCUCAUAGUUUCAAUCAUAAAAAAGUAACUUAUAUCUUCAACGGUUUACCAUGGAGAGAUGAUGAUAGCUCUGACAUUCAGAAGUCAGCGUGAAUCUUCAAUUGGAAAGAAUGGAACUAAUCCAUUUAGGAAUUUCCAUCCAUUGUUGCCAAAUUGUAUUGUGGCCCAGAAUUUUCAAUGUUUUAAAGUUAGUGCCGUGACUUAAGAUCAAACGGAUCUAUCCUAUGAAAAAGAGCCAAUUGCUUGUAAAAGUUUUUAAUCUGAGAUUCUGAAAGAAUUCAAGUCCAUCCCAGAGAAACGAUUUAAAGUCGAGUUAUGAUUUUUUAAAGUUGGCUCUGCUAGCGACAACUGGGACUCGUCUAGUAGUAUUCCAGGGUUGUCCAUGUAAAACCGGGAAAGUCAGGUAAUUUGUGGCGGCCGGGCAUUAUCGGAGAAAGGACCCCGCACACUCCUUAUGGGAAAGUGCACCACGAUCGAUUUUUAAUUUCUUUACUGCAUUCAAUUCAGCUCAAGAUACUGAUCAAAAGUUAUCAUUGCGCCAACUUUCUACGAUACACCGUUUCCGCACAAUACUCCCGGAACGCUUCAAUUGUUCGGCGAUAUAAGAGUCAAAAAGAACAAGGCAUUGGAGAACAGGUCUGAUGUGAAUAAGGAAAAAUGUAGCGAGUGUCUGUCUUCUUAUCUAUUCCUGCCUACUCUGGGGUUAUCUCCCUCCCGCUCUUGUUUGCUUGACGUCCACUGUUUUCUCCGACUUUCCGGUUCUUAUGCUCCUCACGAAUCUGAUUUGGACGGUCAAGCCAAAAGGCGUGCAGAAUCCGAGAUAAGACUGCCACUCGGUGCUGGAGUUCCCUUGAUUUCCUUGUUGACACACAGCCGACCGUUCACUCAAGGACUGAAAUGAAGAAUCUUUCUGACUCUUUGUCGCCGCUUAAUUGCAGCGUUCUGGGCGUAUUGUGCGAAAACGGUGCAUCGUUGAAAGUUGGCACAAUGAUGACUUAUGAUCAACAUCUUGAAAUGAAUUGAAUGCAGUGAAGAAGAAAAAUUUGGCCUCCGGCCAAUUUAUCCGCGGCGCAAGUGCCGGCAUAUGGGGGGGGGGGGCUGCGCCCCCCGUCACGGUGCGAGGAUCGCACAAGACUUCUUCGCUCAAGCCGGCGUUCCACGCCGGCAUAGACACUUUUACUGGAGUAUUUAGGAAAAUACUGUGAAUAUCACCAAAUUAUAAAGUUUGAUUGGAAUUUUGAUCGAAUAUAAUUUUUACGAAAUUUUUAUUCUAACCACUAAACUUUAUCGUAAAUCUCUUCACGAUAUGGUAUGAAUGCAUUUAUUCAGAAUCGACUUGUCGAUAUUUUGAGGCAUCUUCAAUUAAAUAAUUGAUUAAUGAUGUCUCCUAGUAAAAACGGCGAUCCUUAAAAAUCUUAGCUUAGCUACGAUUCAUUAGGAUCUAUUGGAUUACUUGACAUCAUACUUCAGGUUUGAUUAUAUAUUAUAAUCUUUCCUUAAGCAUGGUAAAAAGCUCUCAAAACCUUACUUCAAUGGGUGGAAUUACUAUUCGAUGUUAAAAUAGUCUUAAAAUAAAACGGGUGUCGCUUAGCAUCGGUCCCAAGUCUCAAACUUGACGGUCGAAUGCCCUAUCCACUCGGUCAUUAAGAAUUGCUGAAUCGGCGACGGAAAUUAACAUGCUGCCAAUACGAGUCUUCCGUUUCCUUGAUUGUUCAGCCCAAAAUGGCGAUUUGUUAUUGGCCCCUCUCCAAUUUUUAGUCUAGUCCAAAGAUCUCAUAGGAACUUAGAUGCAUGACCCAGGUAGUGCUAGAUGCCAGCUUUCACAUGAUGGAAGGCUUUUCACAGUAUCUCCAGUCCAUCAAAGAGAGGGGGCCCUCCGCGUGAUCUCACCGAGCAAAGUGCCCUACUUUCGUGCCACGUAUCCAUUGAAUUUUGAGUUGAGUCCGAAGAUCUUUUAGGAACUUAAAUUAAUGACUCGGGUGGUGUGCUUGAUGCCCACUCUCAAAGAAUUAAAGGCAUUUUUUUAAAAUGUUCAGUUUUUCGAAAUGAGCUUUUCAUGUGGUUUUGCUAAGAAUCAAUUUUGGCCCCCAGCCCCCCCCUCCCAAAUUUUACCGUACCCCAAAA